rnacentral:lncRNA from 1 species
UGCUGGUAGGGCUUAUUGAGUAGAUGAUCCCUAUUGAUUUGGUUUGGGUUCAAUAGGUCAAAGGUCAAGGUCACAGGAACUCGAAGAUGAAAAACUGUUUCCGAUCAAUAACUCGAGAACCACUUUACCUAGAUUCUUCAAACAUCUUCAACAUUGGUAGGGCUUAUUGAGUAAAUGAUCCCUAUUGAUUUUGAGGUCACUGGGUCAAAGGUUAAGGUCACAAGGGGAGACAUGCGGUUUUCUUCAAAAGCAUCUUCUAGUUAUUUGUUAAAUAGUACAGCCCCUUCCAUUUCCUGACCUGUUUUUAUUGUCAUUGAUUAUAAGGUGGAACUGCUCAUGAAAGGAAUUUUUUUUGGAAGAAAGGUCAGUUGAUAAUUUGAUUGAAAAUUUAACCUUCGCUAAUUAUUACGAAAGUGUAACAACACUAUUAUGUUUGUUAAACUAUAUGAAUUGGAGAAAUUAAUACUGACUCAGAUUGCAAGCUGUGAACAAGUUAAUAUUGUACAAAUAUUGUAUGUGAAAAUAUUGUUUAAGUGCUAUUGACAUAUUGUAAUGUGCUAAUAUGGAUCAUGAUCAUGUGAAUUGCAUUUGAUAUUAUAUGAAAAGCACUGUUAUCAUAGUUUUCUUGCAUACCAGACGGGGAUUUCCAGGUUCCAUUGAUUUUAUUUUUAUUAUUAUUUCUUGAUAUUGGUAUGCAAGAAAAAGAUUCUGUCACUGGUUAUAGGUGCAGAUGGGAAUAUCCGGCUCUCGGGUAACGGUUUAGGUGGUAACUCGGCAGGAGCCUCGUUACCAUCUAAACAGUUACACUCGAGGCUGGAAAUUCCCAUCUGCACCUACAACCCUUGAAAGAAUCUUAUAACGUGCUACUGUAGAUCACGUCAUUAUUACAUUUAUUUUCAUGUGAAAAACAUGCUACCUUGGUAAUGUACUACUGUAAAUCACGUCAUUAUUACAUUUAUUUUCAUGUGAAAAACAUGUUACCUUGGUAAUGUGCUACUGUAAAUCACGUCAUUAUUAAUUUAUUUUCAUGUGAAAAACAUGUUACCUUGGUAAUGUGCUACUGUAGAUCUCGUCAUUAUUACAUUUAUUUUCAUGUGAAAAACAUGUUACCUUGGUAAUGUGCUACUGUAAAUCACGUCAUUAUUACAUUUAUUUUCGUGUGAAAAACAUGUUACCUUGGUAAUGUGCUACUGUAAAUCACAUCAUUAUUACCUUUAUUUUCAUGUGAAAAACAUGUUACCUUGGUAAUGUGCUACUGUAAAUCACAUCAUUAUUACCUUUAUUUUCAUGUGAAAAAGAGGUUAUCUUGGUAAUGUGCUACUGUAAAACACAUGACUGUUACAUUAAAUAUCAUGUUUAAAAGGUUUUAUCAUAGUAAUGUGCUAUUGUAAAUCACAUUAAAUGUAACAUUUGAUAAAAUCAUUGUGAAAAAAAGUCCUAUGUGCUAGUGUCAUUUUGACUGUUUUAUAUUUGAAGUAAUGUGUAAAGGUAUAAUUAUCAGGAACAGAUAGUAAUGUACUACUGCAAAUAGUGUGAAAAGCAUGUCAUGUGCUCUUGUGAAUUGUGUGUUAUUGUCAUUGAUAUUGUUUAAACAGAGAAUAUAAUGUGCUACUGUUAA